AAUGGGAUAGCUGGGUCAAAUGGUGGUUCCAUUCCAAGUUUUCCAAGGAAUUGCCAUACUGCUUUCCAUAUUGGCUGCAGCAAUUUGCAGUCCCACCAGCAAU
rnacentral:pre_miRNA from 1 species